UACGAAGGGGGCUAGCGUUGCUCGGAAUCACUGGGCGUUAAAGGGUGCGUAGGCGGGUCUUUUAAGUCAGGGGUGAAAUCCUGGAGCUCCAACUCCAGAACUGCCUUUGAUACUGAGGAUCUUGAAGUUCGGGAGAGGUGAGUGGAACUGGCGAGUGUAGAGGUGAAAUUCGUAGAUAUUCGCAAGAACACCAGUGGCGAAGGCGGCUCACUGGCCCGAUACUGACGCUGAGGCACGAAAGCGUGGGGAGCAACAGGG
rnacentral:rRNA from 1 species